rnacentral:tRNA from 1 species
GGGCGGUUAGCUCAGCUGGUUAGAGUACUUGCUUGACAUGCAAGGGGUCACUGGUUCAAUUCCAGUACCGCCCA